CCCCUCGACGAUGAGGAACUGGUGAUGUAUAUCUGCAAUGGUCUUGACACUGAGUACAACUCUCUAGUUUCUGCUCUUGUAACUAGAUUAGAACCUAUUGCUCCUUCAGAAUUGUACUCCCUAUUAUUAAGCUUUGAGA